CUUCCUCCCUCACUUUAAAAACCACCAGCCGCCACUGGUCUGAGGUGUAUGCAGAGUUCCAACGGAUAACUAACCAGAACCUACCUAACACUUUCUACGCGGAGCUUGAUCGCCACAUUCCUCGUUUGAUGGCCUUAUUUAGGCAGAAAGCCUCCAAAACUGGAAAGACGGCAGAUGCUUUGGCAGACAUUUUCAAAGUCCAUGAUACACAGGAAUUACAUGAUGUCCACACAAGGCGUACCACUGUUCUCCAUGCCCUUCCUGUGUAUCUACGUGAGGAAGUCUCUGGAUUUUUCAGAACAUGUGUGGUAAUUCCAAGAUGAUAUGGAUGAGCCAGACCUGCGGGAUGCAUCAGUGGUCCUCCUUACAACUGUCAGCGAUGAUGCAACAAGCCCAGUUCCCUACCACCCAGUGAGAGUCUCUGUCGUCCUAGAGGGUGAUGUGGUUGUCAGCCUCCCCAGGCUUGCAGAUGCCUUCCUGGUAAUAUUCGGCCUGAUCUAUGCACUACAUCUCAGUUAUCCCGAGGGACUGACAAACACCUUUGAGUUCACACAGAAAAUCUUACUUGGUCUUGAUGACUCUAAACUGUCACCCAAGCUGCAGACUCUUAAAAAUGACCUGAUGUUGUAUGUGUAACUCAAGAUCCAAUAAGGAGUGGUGGAUUCUGAUGGCUCACUCUGUUAGAGCACAGUCCACAAUGAGAAUAUGUCAGGUCCAUGUUGACUACUGUUCAACUGUAGAUGUUAAAGUUGCUGUUCUACUCAACUUGUUUUUAGCCGAAUGGCACCAAGUACACACUGUCUUCGUACUGGUUAAUGUAAAUGUUAUUGUUUAACUGAAAUGCAGGGUUGAAUUAAGUGUUUAUACACUAUGGCAUUUUGUUUUUAAAAUGUGUACUAUAUAGUUCUGGGAAAUAAUUCUUUAUAAGAAAAUAAAAUUCUUCAUUGAUACUAGAGAUGUCAGAUAUUAUCGGCCCACCGAUAUUAUCGGCCCGAUAUUAGCAUAAAAAUGUAAUAUCUGUCAAUAUCGGUAUCAG